ACGAACGCUGGUGGCGUGGAUAAGACAUGCAAGUCGAACGAGAGAAUUGCUAGCUUGCUAAUAAUUCUCUAGUGGCGCACGGGUGAGUAACACGUGAGUAACCUGCCCCCGAGAGCGGGAUAGCCCUGGGAAACUGGGAUUAAUACCGCAUAGUAUCGAAAGAUUAAAGCAGCAAUGCGCUUGGGGAUGGGCUCGCGGCCUAUUAGUUAGUUGGUGAGGUAACGGCUCACCAAGGCGAUGACGGGUAGCCGGUCUGAGAGGAUGUCCGGCCACACUGGAACUGAGACACGGUCCAGACACCUACGGGUGGCAGCAGUCGAGAAUCAUUCACAAUGGGGGAAACCCUGAUGGUGCGACGCCGCGUGGGGGAAUGAAGGUCUUCGGAUUGUAAACCCCUGUCAUGUGGGAGCAAAUUAAAAAGAUAGUACCACAAGAGGAAGAGACGGCUAACUCUGUGCCAGCAGCCGCGGUAAUACAGAGGUCUCAAGCGUUGUUCGGAAUCACUGGGCGUAAAGCGUGCGUAGGCUGUUUCGUAAGUCGUGUGUGAAAGGCGCGGGCUCAACCCGCGGACGGCACAUGAUACUGCGAGACUAGAGUAAUGGAGGGGGAACCGGAAUUCUCGGUGUAGCAGUGAAAUGCGUAGAUAUCGAGAGGAACACUCGUGGCGAAGGCGGGUUCCUGGACAUUAACUGACGCUGAGGCACGAAGGCCAGGGGAGCGAAAGGGAUUAGAUACCCCUGUAGUCCUGGCAGUAAACGGUGCACGCUUGGUGUGCGGGGAAUCGACCCCCUGCGUGCCGGAGCUAACGCGUUAAGCGUGCCGCCUGGGGAGUACGGUCGCAAGAUUAAAACUCAAAGAAAUUGACGGGGACCCGCACAAGCGGUGGAGUAUGUGGCUUAAUUCGAUGCAACGCGAAGAACCUUACCUGGGCUUGACAUGUAAUGAACAACAUGUGAAAGCAUGCGACUCUUCGGAGGCGUUACACAGGUGCUGCAUGGCCGUCGUCAGCUCGUGUCGUGAGAUGUUUGGUUAAGUCCAGCAACGAGCGCAACCCCUGUUGCCAGUUACCAGCACGUGAAGGUGGGGACUCUGGCGAGACUGCCCAGAUCAACUGGGAGGAAGGUGGGGACGACGUCAGGUCAGUAUGGCCCUUAUGCCCAGGGCUGCACACGUACUACAAUGCCCAGUACAGAGGGGGCCGAAGCCGCGAGGCGGAGGAAAUCCUGAAAACUGGGCCCAGUUCGGACUGUAGGCUGCAACCCGCCUACACGAAGCCGGAAUCGCUAGUAAUGGCGCAUCAGCUACGGCGCCGUGAAUACGUUCCCGGGUCUUGUACACACCGCCCGUCACAUCAUGGAAGCCGGUCGCACCCGAAGUAUCUGAAGCCAACCGCAAGGAGGCAGGGUCCUAAGGUGAGACUGGUAACUGGGAUG
rnacentral:rRNA from 1 species